GUGAUGAAUAGCCCACUGCGCAAUCUGAGUUCUGUGUGGAACUGAAUGACGAAUUUUGUGCUAACAAAGGCAUCUGAGACCAAUGCUUUGGCAGCCCCAUAGUUCUUACCUGGUUGCUGAUGCACAGAGCCCGAGGCACUGGAGAAAAAUCUUAAGUGCUUGUAACCUGCUCCAAUGCCAAAGGACUCUGAGUGGUGUAUAACAUCAAACAAAAACGUAAUUGAAACAUUUAGCUAUGCACUUGAACAUCGUUCGAAUGGUGAAUAUCAAUGAAUUUCCAGAAAAAAUUACAGACCACAGGAACCAUUUGCGCUUCAGUUUAAGAUUAAUUUUACAAUUGAUAUUUUGAAAGGGAGCGUGGAACACAAACUUCAAGAGCUGAAAUCACUUGUACCCUACAGCUUAGACAAGAAAAAAUACGCAGAGCAGAAGAAUCAACACAGAUGGACAGUGACAUGUCUCAGAAAACUGACCAAUGGGUGAGAAAUCUGACAGCUUACCCAAACAGAAAAUGUUUAGCCGCAGGGCUGAAUUUUGCAGUCAUACCAGAACAGCUACCAGUUGUAGAUCUCAGAGCACUAGAGUCAGCCAUCAGAAACAAUAAAGUGGCAGAACCAGAGGCAGAACAAUUAAGGGUGAAAAUACCUGCAGUCUUUGCUAAUGCCAAAACACCCCCUCCCAACCUCAUAAUUCAAGAAAGGAGAGCAGUGACAUCUCUAGGAAGAGACUCAAACAUCACCAUCCUGCCAGCAGAUAAAGGAAGAUGCAGUCAUUCUGAACACAGAUGACUACAAGGCCAAAGUAAAUGGCACACUGCCAUGUAUGAGACUGAAGAGAUUCCACCAGCAUUUGCAAGAAAAAGGUUGAUUUCUUGCAACAACUGCUGAAGGACAAAGCCAUUGAUCAGCCACAAUGCUACCGUCUUUAUAUCCUGGGGAAGCCACGCCAUGCAUAUAUGGAUUCCCCCAAAUCCACAGAGGGAACUCCACUCACACCAAUUGUCAGCAGCAUCAACUCAGUCACCUACAGCAUUGCAAAACAUCCAGCCACCUUAUUAGCUCCUCUAGUUGGCAACACUAUACAACCUAUCAACAAUUCACAGGACUUUGCCAGCAAGGUUUGGAAUCUAAAACUGGACCCGGAUGAGACCAUGGUUUCCUAUGACGUGACUUCCCUCUUCACCUGCAUUCCAACAACCGAAACUCUCAUGGUAGUGAAGAAACAACUGCUACGAGACAGCACCUUAGGUGACAGCCAGUAGACAUUCAGUCAUCCAGGUCAUGGUUGUCCCAAAGGUGCUUUUUCAGGAGGCAACUAGACUUGUUGGUUUUUCUUUUGAAGACGUUUCGCUUCUCACCCAAGAAGUUUCUUCAGCUGUCAUGCCCCGGGUCUUAUUUUUGGGGAAAUAUGGUAAUAGAAUUGAAAUAUAUUUCAGAAGCUUUCCUCCAACAGACCACUUGGGUUUGGUGCAUUCAUCAACCCAACUAUAUUUGCUUCCAAAAAUACUUCACAAUAAUCUAAGAAGCAAUCUUGAAAGCUGUACCACUGCAGCAUUUACAUGUAACACUUGGAACUCCAGAAGGAAAUAAUAUAUACAUUCUGUAAAUGUAUUACAAAGAGUUUAUAAAACAAAUCCAUUUCUGUUUUAGAAUGAGCUUUGAAAGUGGACACUUAGCAAUGCUGGAAAUAAAAGCAUGCAGAAAAACAAGAAAAGCAAGCUUUUUAUUCCAAAGUAUUAUGCACAGUGGAAUGAUGGUGGCUUUUACAGUCACUUUCCUCUAAACAGGUGUAGUUUGCCCAAUUGUUCAAACUGGAAAAAUAUUUUUAUCAGUAGCAAUAUUUUAAUUAAACUGUAGCUUGCAAUUUUAAUUAAACUGGGGCAAUUAUAAAUUGGGGUAGGUACACCUCAUUUUAUGUUCCAGCAUUUGCAUUCUUUGAAUAAUUCUCUAGCUUUUAUGGGAGUUAUCUUUCAAUACGUGUAAAAAAAAUGAAGUUUUGAAGGCAGAGAUGUAACUUGCUCAUGCAGUAUAAAUUGAUUGGCAUGAUGGACAGUCAGCUACAUCUAUAAUGCUAGAAUAUUUUGACUACUGCAUUUUAUAGCUUAGUCUGGAAAAUAAGCAAACCCAGAAUUAAUUUGCUGCAAUAAGGGAGAAGUUACUUCAGUGUGUGUAGUAUAACUUGAAACCUGGCAAUCUCAUUGCUUGUCCCUGUGUACAGACAAGUCUUGCUAAUUCUUGCACACUUGAGAUAUGUAGUAUUAAAAAAGUUAAUAGUUAAUAUCAAUGAAUCAAUAUGAAUAAAUCUGCAUUUCUUGCAGUUUUUAAUUGAGGAAGACAAUUGGCCAUAUAUUUCUUUUUAUAAAAAGUUCAAAUUAAUCUAAUACAACAAUACUGAAAUCUUUCCAUGCUGACUGUCCUAAACAAAUAGAAGUUAUAUAUAAGGUUGCACAUUUGCUAAUAUUAAUUUGAUAGCCAUAAAUAACUGAUCAAGUAUUUUAUUUAUACUUAUUUUAGUGCCUUUGUAGGUCUUUAAAAAUAUAUCUAAGAUUCCUAAUUUUGGAAUCUUCAAAAAUGAGUUUUAGAAUCUAAAACUUUGUGGAGAAAAUAAAUUCAAAUCUGCAUUUGGACCCUUCUAAUGGACUUUUACAGAUGUCUAAAAUUCAUAUGCAAUUUCAUCAGUUUACAUACAAAUUCAAAGGUAACUUGGGGUGACAUUUAAAUUUUUCUCCAAAUUUGUAAUACUUAGUUUAGGAAAUGCUAAUCGUGAAUGCUAA